rnacentral:rRNA from 1 species
GACGAACGCUGGCGGCGUGCCUAAUACAUGCAAGUCGAACGAACUCUGGUAUUGAUUGGUGCUUGCAUCAUGAUUUACAUUUGAGUGAGUGGCGAACUGGUGAGUAACACGUGGGAAACCUGCCCAGAAGCGGGGGAUAACACCUGGAAACAGAUGCUAAUACCGCAUAACAACUUGGACCGCAUGGUCCGAGUUUGAAAGAUGGCUUCGGCUAUCACUUUUGGAUGGUCCCGCGGCGUAUUAGCUAGAUGGUGGGGUAACGGCUCACCAUGGCAAUGAUACGUAGCCGACCUGAGAGGGUAAUCGGCCACAUUGGGACUGAGACACGGCCCAAACUCCUACGGGAGGCAGCAGUAGGGAAUCUUCCACAAUGGACGAAAGUCUGAUGGAGCAACGCCGCGUGAGUGAAGAAGGGUUUCGGCUCGUAAAACUCUGUUGUUAAAGAAGAACAUAUCUGAGAGUAACUGUUCAGGUAUUGACGGUAUUUAACCAGAAAGCCACGGCUAACUACGUGCCAGCAGCCGCGGUAAUACGUAGGUGGCAAGCGUUGUCCGGAUUUAUUGGGCGUAAAGCGAGCGCAGGCGGUUUUUUAAGUCUGAUGUGAAAGCCUUCGGCUCAACCGAAGAAGUGCAUCGGAAACUGGGAAACUUGAGUGCAGAAGAGGACAGUGGAACUCCAUGUGUAGCGGUGAAAUGCGUAGAUAUAUGGAAGAACACCAGUGGCGAAGGCGGCUGUCUGGUCUGUGACUGACGCUGAGGCUCGAAAGUAUGGGUAGCAAACAGGAUUAGAUACCCUGGUAGUCCAUACCGUAAACGAUGAAUGCUAAGUGUUGGAGGGUUUCCGCCCUUCAGUGCUGCAGCUAACGCAUUAAGCAUUCCGCCUGGGGAGUACGGCCGCAAGGCUGAAACUCAAAGGAAUUGACGGGGGCCCGCACAAGCGGUGGAGCAUGUGGUUUAAUUCGAAGCUACGCGAAGAACCUUACCAGGUCUUGACAUACUAUGCAAAUCUAAGAGAUUAGACGUUCCCUUCGGGGACAUGGAUACAGGUGGUGCAUGGUUGUCGUCAGCUCGUGUCGUGAGAUGUUGGGUUAAGUCCCGCAACGAGCGCAACCCUUAUUAUCAGUUGCCAGCAUUAAGUUGGGCACUCUGGUGAGACUGCCGGUGACAAACCGGAGGAAGGUGGGGAUGACGUCAAAUCAUCAUGCCCCUUAUGACCUGGGCUACACACGUGCUACAAUGGAUGGUACAACGAGUUGCGAACUCGCGAGAGUAAGCUAAUCUCUUAAAGCCAUUCUCAGUUCGGAUUGUAGGCUGCAACUCGCCUACAUGAAGUCGGAAUCGCUAGUAAUCGCGGAUCAGCAUGCCGCGGUGAAUACGUUCCCGGGCCUUGUACACACCGCCCGUCACACCAUGAGAGUUUGUAACACCCAAAGUCGGUGGGGUAACCUUUUAGGAACCAGCCGCCUAAGGUGGGACAGAUGAUUAGGGUG